AACGCGAAGAACCUUACCAGCUUUUGACAUGUCCUGGACGGAUUGCAGAGAUGCGAUCUUCCCUUCGGGGCCGGGAACACGGGUGCUGCAUGGCUGUCGUCAGCUCGUGUCGUGAGAUGUUGGGUUAAGUCCCGCAACGAGCGCAACCCUUGUCCUGUGUUGCCACUCCGUAAGGAAGCACUCUCAGGAGACCGCCAGCGAUAAGUUGGAGGAAGGUGGGGAUGAUGUCAAGUCAUCAUGGCCUUUAUGUCCAGGGCUACACACGUGCUACAAUGGUCGGUACAAAGCGCUGCAAACCCGCGAGGGGGAGCUAAUCGCAAAAAGCCGGCCUCAGUUCGGAUUGCAGGCUGCAACUCGCCUGCAUGAAGCUGGAAUCGCUAGUAAUGCCGUAUCAGAAUGAUGGCGUGAAUACGUUCCUGGGCCUUGUACACACCGACGCGUA
rnacentral:rRNA from 1 species